rnacentral:rRNA from 1 species
UACGUAGGGCGCAAGCGUUAUCCGGAAUUAUUGGGCGUAAAGAGCUCGUAGGCGGUUUGUCGCGUCUGCCGUGAAAGUCCGGGGCUCAACUCCGGAUCUGCGGUGGGUACGGGCAGACUAGAGUGAUGUAGGGGAGACUGGAAUUCCUGGUGUAGCGGUGAAAUGCGCAGAUAUCGAGAGGAACACCUGCGGCGAAGGCGGGUUGCUGGGCUGACACUGACGCUGAUGUGCGAAAGCUAGGGGAGCGAACGGG